rnacentral:rRNA from 1 species
CAUAUACAUGCAGUCGAACGCGCAGCGAAAGGUGCUUGCACCUUUCAAGCGAGUGGCGAACGGGUGAGUAACACGUGGAUAACCUGCCUCAAGGCUGGGGAUAACAUUUGGAAACAGAUGCUAAUACCGAAUAAAACUUAGUAUCGCAUGAUACAAAGUUGAAAGGCGCUACGGCGUCACCUAGAGAUGGGUCCGCGGUGCAUUAGUUAGUUGGUGGGGUAAAGGCCUACCAAGACAAUGAUGCAUAGCCGAGUUGAGAGACUGAUCGGCCACAUUGGGACUGAGACACGGCCCAAACUCCUACGGGAGGCUGCAGUAGGGAAUCUUCCACAAUGGGCGAAAGCCUGAUGGAGCAACGCCGCGUGUGUGAUGAAGGCUUUAGGGUCGUAAAGCACUGUUGUAUGGGAAGAAAUGCUAGAAUAGGGAAUGAUUCUAGUUCGACGGUACCAUACCAGAAAGGGACGGCUAAAUACGUGCCAGCAGCCGCGGUAAUACGUAUGUCCCGAGCGUUAUCCGGAUUUAUUGGGCGUAAAGCGAGCGCAGACGGUUGAUUAAGUCUGAUGUGAAAGCCCGGAGCUCAACUCCGGAAUGGCAUUGGAAACUGGUUAACUUGAGUGUUGUAGAGGUAAGUGGAACUCCAUGUGUAGCGGUGGAAUGCGUAGAUAUAUGGAAGAACACCAGUGGCGAAGGCGGCUUACUGGACAACAACUGACGUUGAGGCUCGAAAGUGUGGGUAGCAAACAGGAUUAGAUACCCUGGUAGUCCACACCGUAAACGAUGAAUACUAGGUGUUAGGAGGUUUCCGCCUCUUAGUGCCGAAGCUAACGCAUUAAGUAUUCCGCCUGGGGAGUACGACCGCAAGGUUGAAACUCAAGGAAUUGACGGGGACCCGCACAAGCGGUGAGCAUGU